GAUUACUUCGAUGUUGGCGGGUCACCGUGUUCAACCGGAUGGACUGCGUACACACCCCGAUAAGAAACAAGUUAUGGUUGCCGUGUCCAUUUGCCGAGAAUCGCCUAAGCAUCAUUGGGAUAUGUUUGCAGGCUGAUGGUGCGACGGACAUACAACCAUCCGAACAAAGGAAUGGCUA